AACGAACGCUGGCGGCAUGCCUAACACAUGCAAGUCGAACGAGAUCUUCGGGUCUAGUGGCGCACGGGUGCGUAACGCGUGGGAAUCUGCCCUUUGGCUCGGAAUAACAGUUGGAAACGACUGCUAAUACCGGAUGAUGACGAAAGUCCAAAGAUUUAUCGCCAGAGGAUGAGCCCGCGUAGGAUUAGCUAGUUGGUGUGGGAAAGGCGCACCAAGGCGACGAUCCUUAGCUGGUCUGAGAGGAUGAUCAGCCACACUGGGACUGAGACACGGCCCAGACUCCUACGGGAGGCAGCAGUGGGGAAUAUUGGACAAUGGGCGAAAGCCUGAUCCAGCAAUGCCGCGUGAGUGAUGAAGGCCUUAGGGUUGUAAAGCUCUUUUACCCGGGAUGAUAAUGACAGUACCGGGAGAAUAAGCUCCGGCUAACUCCGUGCCAGCAGCCGCCGCGG
rnacentral:rRNA from 1 species